AGCCCAGUCCUGGUGAGUUUUCGGUGUGGAAAUCUCAACUUCUAUCCAGAGCAUGCUGCGUGUCUCAUUGUCCUUGCUCCAGCGUUGCCAAGAGGCUCAUUUGGAAGAAACUUUAAGAUCUUGGCAUCCUUCUUCGUCUAUAUUUUUCCCCGAAGAUUUGUGGCUUUCCUACACCUGGAGGCGCUGUGCUUCGCACACGCUACGGGAAUAAUUUAUCUCCAGGUGAAUGCUACUAUAACGACUAACAAACGUUUGUUUUGCAUGUUCCUGCGCAAGCACUCACUUACAAAAUGUCUGCUACAACGAGUUUGUCUCUACUCGAGUUUUUAUGUAUUGUCUGGCCUCUUUCUAUUUGCACCAGCAACUCGAGCCUCGUUUUGUUUGUCAUUUCUCCAAUCAAUUUCUCACUAUACGAUCUGCAGAACUAUGAGCGGUUACAUUCAUUGCAUCGGUCGAACUGGUCGAGCUGGGAAUGCUGAGGAAUUUUCAACCUCAAGAGUCUUCGAGCUGGAGAUUAGUUUGGCACUGGCCUGAAGUUUACACCCGAGGCGUAACGACUUGACAGAAGCUCGGGCGAAGAACUCUGAAAGAUGGGAACCCUUUUCAGGAUCCUCUGGCAGAGGGACGAGCGAAGAAAUCUCCCAACGCUCGGACUUAUACCAAGAAGUAAAGUCGAUUGGCAAAAAAUGGAAAAAAAAAAAACAAAAAAAAAACAGAACGCGUGGUGGGAAAUCUGGUCGGGCACAACUACCAGGCAGGUUUCAUAAGAAUGCACAUUCGUCGAAGAGAACACAUCAGCAGCAGAAACUGUGAAUGCGGUAAGUGCUCUCUUUCGGACUGGCUCACGUGAAACUUUGCAGACUCGUUAUUGGCACUGAAUAAAA